rnacentral:rRNA from 2 species
UACGGAGGGAGCUAGCGUUGUUCGGAAUUACUGGGCGUAAAGCGCACGUAGGCGGCUUUCCAAGUCAGGGGUGAAAUCCCGGGGCUCAACCCCGGAACUGCCCUUGAAACUGGAUGGCUAGAAUCCUGGAGAGGCGAGUGGAAUUCCGAGUGUAGAGGUGAAAUUCGUAGAUAUUCGGAAGAACACCAGUGGCGAAGGCGACUCGCUGGACAGGUAUUGACGCUGAGGUGCGAAAGCGUGGGGAGCAAAC